GAAGUUAGUGUCUGUACUUACAUGUCCGCUCUAGAAGUUGGGUAUUUUCUAGUACUGUGUUGACGUUUCUUAACUUUUCUAGGAAAGACUCUAGUAAGGGCGGUAAAGAACAGGACAAAGGGGUGAUGAAGACAAAAAGGCCUGCUAGGAAUGUACCACAGGCUGAGCGAAUAAGAGCUGUCAAGUUAGCUUCUGUAGCUAUGAAGAGAAAAUCAGUGAAGAAAGCUAAAGUGAAGUCGAGACAGGAUGUUUAGAUGCACAGGGUCAAGCAGAGAAAACAAAACGAUUUCUGGGGUCGAAAAAUUGAGAACAAACCAAAUUAGACAGUUUUCCAUGCCAUGAUCCACCUUGUUUCUCAUGUAUUAGACCUAUUAGAUGGACUGCCACUAUUUUUCUGAAUUCCUCGUUUGAUUGGUACACCCUCAUUUUAUUAUGGACGGGUCGACAUGGUAGGCUAGUUAUGAUUUAUCAACAUCGAUGAAACAAUGCAUUUUUAGUGAAGUUGGUUUUCUGUAUUUUUUUUUCAUUUUUUACAUAAUAUAUUGCUGAAA